rnacentral:rRNA from 1 species
AUUACCGCGGCUGCUGGCACAGAGUUAGCCGGUGCUUAUUCUGCAGCUAAUGUCAUCGUCCCCGGGUAUUAACCGAAGAGUCUUCUUCACUGCUUAAAGUGCUUUACAACCAAAAGGCCUUCUUCACACACGCGGCAUGGCUGGAUCAGGGUUCCCCCCAUUGUCCAAUAUUCCCCACUGCUGCCUCCCGUAGG